AUAGUUUUCCACCGGAUUUUCCAAAGGAUUCAUCAUCAUGUCUGUAAGACUUGUCUUUCCAUGAACAUCAUAACCUGGCGUGAAUCCAAGGACUGGAAUAUAGUGGCCAUUCUGCCAUCCAAUAAUAAGAUUCCUGAGAAGCUAGUGGAUCUCGUUUAACUUAUGACCGGUCCACUGUUCUCACCAACUGAGACUAGAGCCUCAGGCUAGCAGAGCUCUGCUUUUCCCUUUUUGCUGUCUACCAAGUUCAUUACUUAUAUUGACAACACUACCAAGUAUGGAUUUUCUUUAUCUGCUCCAAAUCAUGUAAGCCAACCAAGCUUACUGAUUUUCAUGGAUAGCCGCACCCUGAUAAUAUUCUAGCACAAAGUGAGAUGUUGCCGGGUAGUAAAGUAUACAGCCCCAAGCAAGAUGACUGAAGAUUCCCAGUGUGUGUACCUGAAGUUCUAGCAGUUGUUCAUGAAGAAAUUAUUCACUUCUGCCAUUUGCCUUUGCUUUGGUCAAUUUCCCAAGCGCUGAAAUGGUUUUCUUUUUGACAAUUUUGUCCAGUGUUAUGCUUUUGGUGGUGGGGAUAUUAGCCUACCUCUUCACCCCACUGUUGCAGAAUUCUGUCUCUUCUGGUUUCCAAUAGUUUUAUUAAAAACAAAACAAAACAAAAAAAA